UACGGAGGGUGCAAGCGUUGUCCGGAUUUAUUGGGUUUAAAGGGUGCGUAGGCGGCCGAAUAAGUCAGUGGUGAAAUCCUGUAGCUUAACUACAGAGCUGCCAUUGAUACUGUUUGGCUUGAGUACAGACGAGGUAGGCGGAAUUGAUAGUGUAGCGGUGAAAUGCAUAGAUACUAUCAGGAACACCGAUUGCGAAGGCAGCUUACUAGACUGUAACUGACGCUGAGGCACGAAAGCGUGGGGAUCAAACAGG
rnacentral:rRNA from 1 species